rnacentral:lncRNA from 1 species
AGCCGAGGCCGAGGUCAGCAACUUUGCAUCCUGGCCCUACCCUCUCCAGGGAACUCAGCGUCUAGGGACAGAAUUCGGCUGCUCGGAAAGAAAAGGGAAGGGGAGCGACUCUCAGCAGCCGCGCAGGGGAGGGGGGUUCGGGCGCCUCUGGCCAAGCUCCCAGAGGGGCCCCGCUGCCUCUCCCACCUUCCUUCGCUUCGCUUUUUUCCUUUAUUAUCUCAUUUUUCCUUCUCCCCAGCCUCUCCUCCUCUCUCGCCCGCCUCGCUCUUAGCCCCCUUUCUGUCUCCCUCUGUCCCUGUGUCUCUGUCUCUGUCUCAUCUUUCCUCUUCCUGGCUUGCCAGGCUUCCCGCUCGCCCCGGCUUUCCCGUUGUUAAUUAUUCAGCCCCCUGGCCCCGUACCCAGUCCCGCCUGCCGCAUGGAGUUUGCGCGGAGAGGGACGCUGUCCGCUUCCCCCGGGGUUGGGGUCCGGAACGGCGGGCGGGGAGCGGGCGACGCUCUGCAGUCCCCGCGCUCUCGGCUGCCCAGGCUGGCCCGAGGCUCCGCUUGACGCCGCGAACCCAGACACCGCGCGUAAAGGGCCUCGCGGCGGAGAGCACACUCGCGGGGAGACCCGGCGCUGGGACGACGCGGCCGGGAGGAUUUCCCCGGCCAAGUUCAGCGGCGGCGGAGGUGGGGGCGAAGCAGUCCCUCGGCUCCCGGCCCUCGGGCUCCCGCGGCUCGCCGCAGGUGGGGCUGGCUGACCGUCCAGCCGGCUCUUCGCCCGAGCCGGGUGCUGGCGGCUGGCAACCCGCGGAGGAGGCCCCGGCGCUGCGCACCCGCCUGGCCCCGCUGAGCCCGCGGCCCGAGACUCCCAAACGCCCCGUCGCCCCGUCUAGGGCCCCCUUCCCUGCGGGCGCCAUGGAGCGGUUUCCCGGCCCUGUUUUUUCUUCGCCUUUUCUAUCACUUAGUUCAACACCUUUUACGUCUCCUUUAGCUCGAAAAUAUGUCUCCUUUUUAUUUCAUUUAGCGUUAUUUUAUCCUUUUUAUUGUAACGUUUUAUUUUUUUUUUCGAGUGGGUUUUAUUUUUCCUUUUUAUCUGUUUCCGAUGGAUUCUCUUUUCUUUCUGCUCACUUCUCGCCUCGGGUCCGGAGCCCGCACUUCGUUUCCUCUUCCCCGCGCGCCCGCGGCCCUAAGGCUGGCGUCGGCGGUGCCCGCGGUGGUCCCGCCCGGGCGAGGGCGCGAGGGUCCCCGUUUCACGCAGAACUCGGUCCGCGCGCCCCGCGAGUCUGCGCCCCAGGCCGCUGCGGAGCUAGGACUUUGACGAAAGCGGGAGCCCGAGUCGCUGCCGCCGGCAAGAGCGCCGAGAGCAGACAGGGGCGCCACGGGGGCCCUGCCCGCAGUUUCUGGCCUGGUUUUGGCCUGGCCCAGGCGCACACAGAGGACCCAGACCUGCAAUUCACACUGAGGCUGCAGGCCCACGCUCGCUGA